CAGUCGCCACGGUAAUACGAAGGGGGCUAGCGUUGUUCGGAUUUACUGGGCGUAAAGCGCACGUAGGCGGAUCGAUCAGUCAGGGGUGAAAUCCCAGAGCUCAACUCUGGAACUGCCUUUGAUACUGUCGAUCUGGAGUAUGGAAGAGGUGAGUGGAAUUCCGAGUGUAGAGGUGAAAUUCGUAGAUAUUCGGAGGAACACCAGUGGCGAAGGCGGCUCACUGGUCCAUUACUGACGCUGAGGUGCGAAAGCGUGGGGAGCAAACAGGAUUAGAUACCCGUGUAGUCCCUGUCUCUUAUAC
rnacentral:rRNA from 1 species